rnacentral:rRNA from 1 species
GAUGAACGCUGGCGGCGUGCCUAAUACAUGCGAGUCGAGCGAACAGACGAGGAGCUUGCUCCUCUGACGUUAGCGGCGGACGGGUGAGUAACACGUGGAUAACCUACCUAUAAGACUGGGAUAACUUCGGGAAACCGGAGCUAAUACCGGAUAAUAUAUUGAACCGCAUGGUUCAAUAGUGAAAGACGGUUUUGCUGUCACUUAUAGAUGGAUCCGCGCCGCAUUAGCUAGUUGGUAAGGUAACGGCUUACCAAGGCAACGAUGCGUAGCCGACCUGAGAGGGUGAUCGGCCACACUGGAACCGAGACACGGUCCAGACUCCUACGGGAGGCAGCAGUAGGGAAUCUUCCGCAAUGGGCGAAAGCUUGACGGAGCAACGCCGCGUGAGUGAUGAAGGUCUUCGGAUCGUAAAACUCUGUUAUUAGGGAAGAACAAAUGUGUAAGUAACUAUGCACGUCUUGACGGUACCUAAUCAGAAAGCCACGGCUAACUACGUG